rnacentral:rRNA from 1 species
GACGAACGCUGGCGGCGCGCCUAACACAUGCAAGUCGAGCGAGAACCAGGGCUUCGGCCCUGGGGACAGCGGCGAACGGGUGAGUAUCACGUGGAUAACCUGCCCUCGGCACCGGCAUAGCCCGGGGAAACCCGGAUUAAUGCCGGAUAGCCCCACAGCCCCUCGGGGCGGUGGGAAAAGGUAGCUUCGGCCUCUGGCCGAGGCUGGGUCCGCGGCGGAUUAGCUUGUUGGCGGGGUAAUGGCCCACCAAGGCGACGAUCCGUAGCUGGUCUGGGAGGACGAUCAGCCACACUGGGACUGAGACACGGCCCAGACUCCUACGGGAGGCAGCAGUGGGGAAUCUUGCGCAAUGGGCGAAAGCCUGACGCAGCGACGCCGCGUGCGGGAAGAAGGCCUUCGGGUUGUAAACCGCUUUCAGGAGGGACGAAGCCACUCGGGUGAACAGCCCAGAGGGUGACGGUACCUCCAGAAGAAGCCCCGGCUAACUACGUGCCAGCCGCCGCAGUAAUAC